GAUGCGGUGGCGCAGUGGUUGAGCAUGCUUGACUUGGGAUCAGAAGGUCAUGAGUUCACUUCCUUGCCACACCU